rnacentral:lncRNA from 1 species
CUCUUCCCAGUUCUGUGACACACAGUGUUGCUAUAGUUAUGUGAUUAUAUAUGUUCAUGUCUCAGUCCUGAUCCUCAGUAUAGUAGAAACUUCUCCAAAGAGACUACUUGCUUUUCAAUUUUGGUCGUGGUAAACUUUUAAAAAUGGGAAAUAUUUGUUUGUGUAAAGUGACAACUUGGAUAGAGAGCUGGAUUAAAGUAUUCUAGUGGUCAAUGGAGCUCAGACCCUCCUUCUAACCCACUCACGUGUGGAUUUACUGAUCUGUAUCUGUGCAGCCACUCUACUCCAUGAAGACAAAUGGAAGGAAGAUCAACAGAAUUACAUAUAUCAUCCAGACGAUAGUCCCAGAUGAAGGGACUGUCCCGAGAGAAGAGUUGGCCUUGCCAGGGAAGGUAAGUUGGCCUUCACAUUUUCCAAGGUAUUUCCAAGGGUCUUUACAAUCCCUCUAUUUUUAGUAGAUGCCAUAUUGUAAUAAUAAAAGCAAUCAUGUAUACCCA